CUCUUGGAUAUCCUUUUCUUGCCUCUGGGGGAAGAUGAGGAGUAUGGCAACCCCUGCCCACACUGCUGGUAAGGGUAGGAUGCAGCUUGCCUGACAUUUUGGAUCCGUCUGCAUACAUCCACGUAUGUAUAAUGCAGCUUUUCAGUAAUAGGAUCUUUGGCACAUUCCUUUCAGCUGAAUAUUAACAACUCGACUGGCUUGAAGACCUGCCUGUGUCCAGCCCAGCACGACGCCGGGGCUCCGGGCCGCCCUGUGCUGGGUGCUGCGGAAGGAAGCCUGAAGCAGCUGUCAGUCAACUUGGACCAGCAGCGCCCUGGACUCUCUCAGCUAUAUUUCUGCAGGCUCCACAGUAGCGCUGGCCAGAAGCUGCUGCAGAAGCUGUGAGUGACCGA
rnacentral:lncRNA from 1 species